AUUGAACGCUGGCGGCAUGCUUUACACAUGCAAGUCGAACGGCAGCGCGGUCUUCGGACUGUAGGCGAGUGGCGAACGGGUGAGUAAUGCAUCGGAACUUGCCCCGUCGUGGGGGAUAGCCCGGCGAAAGCUGGAUCAAUUCCCCAUACGACCUGAUGUUGAGAGCGGGGGUUCGAAAGGCCUCUCGCUAUUGGAUCGGCCGUCGGCGGAUGAGCUAGUUGGUGGGGUAAAGGCUUACCAAGGCGGCGAUCGGUAGCCGGUCUGAGAGGGUGUACAGCCACAGUGGGAGUGAGAGGCGACACAGAGUCCGACGGGAGGCAGCGGUGGGGAAUGUUGGAAGAAGGGGGGAACACUGAACCAGCCAUGCCGCGUGGAGGAAGCAGGGCUGCGGGUUGUAUGAAGGUUUUGUUGGGGAAGACAUCCUCUGGGAUGAUACAAGGGGGGGAUGACGGUACCGGAAUAAGAAGCACCGGCUAACUACGUG
rnacentral:rRNA from 1 species